rnacentral:rRNA from 1 species
ACACGACUACAUUAGACUACCCCGGUAGUCCUAGGCGUAAAUGAUGCGAGUUAAGUGUGGGGGCAUCUACGAGAUGGCCCUGUGCUGUAGGGUAGCCGUUAAACUCGCUGCCUGGGAGUACGGUCGCAAGGCUGAAACUUAAAGGAAUUGGCGGGGGAGCACCACAACGGGUGGAGCUUGCGGUUUAAUUGGAUUCAACGCCGGAAAUCUUACCGGGACCGACAGCAACAUGAAGGCCAGGCUGAAGACUUUGCCGGAUUAGCUG